rnacentral:lncRNA from 1 species
GCAGCGAUUGAAAACGCUUUGGUCCUCUGCAGGGGCGCGUUGCGGGGUCUCUGCGUUAGACCGGUUCUCAGCGGUUUCUGCAGCCACAGCCUGGCUCUACGCCUCCCCCCGGGCCGCGGGGGCGGAGAAUCCUCCCUUCCUCGGACACUGGAGCCGGAGCGGACCUUGCCCUCCCGCGGACCGCGCGGUAGGGGACGCCGAGAAAAGAGCCCCUGCGCCCGCCGCCUCCGGCCCGCCGCGCAGAGGGCUCCGCCCGUAGAGGUCAACUCCCCUCACCCUUUCGGCUCUCCUGAUCGCCCUCCCUCCGCCCGGCCCAGGCUCCGCCAGCCUCCCGACUCGGGCCGCAGUCUGAGGAGUGCGCCUCCGCUGCGCUGCUCUGAACCUUAACCCCGAGCCGGGCCCAGACCCGAGGUCCGCGCACCCCGGCGGUGGGGAAGCCUUAGCGAGCAGCCUUUUCUCUGCAGCAAAGCUGUAGGAAGACCAGAUGGGCCGCGCAGCUCUCUCGGGACUAGGCAGGUGCGGUUGAGUUAAUUUUUCCGCAUUACAAAGAAAGAUGACCCAGUCCGCCCUUGGACCCUCAUCUCUUCCCCAAAUCUCCCAACCAGAACCGCGGUAACGUUAUCAGAGGACACAGAGACUAGGCAUAUCUGCGUGAUUAUCUUACACACACACACACACACACACACACACACACACACACGUAUGAGUAUUUUCUUUUUUAUGUGCCAGAUCUCAUCCUCGACAGCUGGAAAUGACUGGCAAAGCUUUCUGCAGAACAGAAAGUCCUUAAAACCUGCCAUUCCUUACAAGUGACCUAGAAGAGAUGCAAGGCUAACCAACUCAGUUCAUUGCCUUGAGUAAAACAACACGUUUACGAACUUAGUUCUGCACCAGAAGGGUGAUUAACUUCGAUACACGCCAUCAUUUGAAACUAGAUUUGUAGGCGUAUGUAUGUUCUUAGGUGUGCUAUAAAUGGCAUGCAGAUAUAUGCAUAUGUAUAUGCAGACACUUACAUCGUCUACACUUCCACCGAACAGACUAAUUAGCAGUGGCUCUGGCAGCCGUGGCAGGAGGCUAGCUGAAACAGAAGCCUGAGCUUAUGAGUUAGGACUCUGGAGGAGUCAUAGGGACUCAAGCUCAGGGCAGGGGAAAAGGGCAGAAGGAGAAGUGUGGCAUUCGCAAUGGGUCAGUUACUUUCCGGAUCAAGACCAGACUCUGCCCUCCGUGUUCACAGCGGACCUUGAUUUAAUGUCAUACAAUUAAGGCACGCGGUGAAUGCCAAGAGCGGAGCCUACGGCUGCACUUGAAGGACACUAGAGCGUCUUAGAAUAAGAAAGUGCAAAAGGCACUUGCAAGGGUGGGCUGAGGGGUGGUAGAAUGGAACCCA